rnacentral:rRNA from 1 species
UGCGCAGGCGGGAGAUCAGGUCGGAUGUGAAAACCUUGGGCUCAACCCAGGGCCUGCAUCCGAAACCGAUUUUCUUGAGUAUCGGAGAGGAAAGCGGAACUCCAGGUGUAGCGGUGAAAUGCGUAGAUAUCUGGAGGAACACCGGUGGCGAAGGCGGCUUUCUGGACGAAUACUGACGCUCAUGCACGAAGGCUAGGGGAGCAAACAGGAUUAGAUACCCUGGUAGUCC